rnacentral:lncRNA from 1 species
AGAACUUUUGUGAAAAAUAGUUUUCAAAGGAUUCCCAUCACUUUGUGUCUUCCAAAAAUCUUCCUGAUGUUUCUCGUGCAGGAUUUUUACUGCAGCCCUACACACUGGAGAAGAAAAAUCCACUCUUAGCAGAUGAGAUUAUUUACAGAAUCUGCAUCUCUCCUUCUGGAUUCUGCUCACUGAGUGAAAAGGUGGAGAAGCACCAACAAAGCAGCUGUGGAAAAAGGAACCCAUUUCACCCUUCAGAGCUUUCCCACUGGUUUAGUGAAAAGCUGGAUGGAUGGAUGGAUGGAUGGAUGGAUGGAUGGAUGGAUGGAUGGAUGGAUAAAGCUUGCAGAAAGAAAAAUCAGCUCUUGGCUAGGAUCAGAUUGUUGGGAUCCACCCUCAGUGACACUUUGUCAUCCAUGUACAAUGCAAGAUGGGCAGCAGAGAUGCUUGGCAUGCCUGAGGGAGGCAGAAGGCCAAUUCUUGCUGGGUCUGACUGAAGAACAUUAAACUAUUGUUGGACAAAAUCUUCACUACAAUGAAUUUUUUUUAUAUUUUGGCUCCUCAAUGGAAGAUUUUUUUCCCCCACCAACAUUUUGUCCCAUUUCAUAUAUUUCAUUUUUCCCAGGGUAGAGGGAAAUGAGGGAAUGUUUUCUCAGUGAGCAGAAUAAUUA